rnacentral:rRNA from 1 species
GAUGAACGCUGGCGGCGUGCCUAAUACAUGCAAGUCGAGCGAAUGGAUUAAGAGCUUGCUCUUAUGAAGUUAGCGGCGGACGGGUGAGUAACACGUGGGUAACCUGCCCAUAAGACUGGGAUAACUCCGGGAAACCGGGGCUAAUACCGGAUAACAUUUUGAACCGCAUGGUUCGAAAUUGAAAGGCGGCUUCGGCUGUCACUUAUGGAUGGACCCGCGUCGCAUUAGCUAGUUGGUGAGGUAACGGCUCACCAAGGCAACGAUGCGUAGCCGACCUGGGAGGGUGAUCGGCCACACUGUGACUGAGGAACGGCCCCGACUCCUACGGGAGGCAGCAGUAGGGAAUCUUCCGCAAUGGACGAAAGUCUGACGGAGCCACGCCGCGUGAGUGAUGAAGGCUUUCGGGUCGUAAAACUCUGUUGUUAGGGAAGAACAAGUGCUAGUUGAAUAAGCUGGCACCUUGACGGUACCUAACCAGAAAGCCACGGCUAACUACGUGCCAGCCGCCGCAGUAA